rnacentral:lncRNA from 1 species
GCUUCAUUAGGACUCCUCAGAAGUAGAUGUUGGUGCCAUACUUCCUGUAUAGCCUGUAGUACCAUGAACCUCUUCGCUUUAUAAAUUACCUGGUCUUGGGGAUUUCUUUAUAGCAAUGCAAGAAUGACCUAAUACAGAAAACUGGUACUGAGAAGUGAGUCAUUGCUGUAGAGAUACCUGAAAAUGUGGAAGCAGCUUUGGAACUUGGUGACAGGCAGAAGUUGGAAGAGUUUGUAGGGCUCAGAAGAAGACAGAAAGAUGAGGGAAAGUUUGGAAUUUCUUAGGGACUGGUUAAAUGGUUGUGACCAAAAUGCUGAUAGCUAGGACAUGAACAGAAUGCACCCAAGCACUUUGCUAAGGCAAAACAUGCGUGACCUUUGCUCUAGUUCCCAAUAAUUUCCUUAUUUCCAUUCGAGACCUCAGAAGCCUGGACUUCAAACCAAAAUGCUGAUAGUGAUGUGAACAGUGAAGUCCAGGCUGCUGAGGCCUCAGAUGGAAAUUAGGAACUUACUGGGAACUAGAGCAAAGGUCACACAAUGUUAACGCCUUAGCAAAGAGCUUAGCUGCCUUCUGUUCAUGCCCUAGGAAUCUGUGGAAGUUUGAACUUGAGAGUGAUGAUUUAGGGUAUCUGGCAGAAGAAAUGUCUAAGCAGCAAAGUGAUCAAGAAGUGGUGUGGCUGCUUCUAGCCACUUAUAUUCAGAUGUGGGAGCAAAGACAAAAGGUAGAACUUAUAUUUAAAAGGGAAGCAGAGCAAAAAAAGUUUGGAAAAUUUGCAGCCUGGCCAUGUGGCAGAGAAAGAAAAAAGCUUUUUCAGUAGAGGAAUUCAAGCAGACUGUGGAACAAUUACUUGCUAGAGAUGUUUGCAGGAUUAAAGGGGAGCCAAGUGCUACUAUCCAAGACAAUAGGGAAAAAGCCUUGAAAGCAUUUCAAAGAACUUCAGAGUGGCUUCUCCCAUCACAGGCCCAGAAGCUUAGGAGGAGAGAAUAGAUUCAUGGACUGGGCCCAGGGCCAUGGUACCUUGCACAGCCUUGGGACACUGCUCACCACAUCCUAGCUGCUCCUGUUCCCACUCUUGCCAUGGCUCAAAGGGGCCUACAUACAGCUUGGACUGCCACUUUGGAGAAUGCAAACAGUAAACCUUGGUAGCUUUCAUGUGGUGUUAAGCCUGCAGGCACACAAAGUGCAAGAAUCGUGGAUUCUUGGCAGCCUCUGCCUAGAUUUCAGAGGACAUAUGGAAAAGUCUGUUUGUCCAGGCAGAAGCCUGUUACAGGGGUGGAGCCCUUACAAAGAACCUCUACUAGGGCAGUAUAGAGGGGAAAUGUGGGGUUGGAGGCUCCAACAGGGUCACCGCUGGGGCACUGCCUAAUGGAACUAUACGAAGUGGGCCACUGCCCUCCAGACCUAAGGAUGAUAGAUCUACCAGCAGCUUGUAUUCUGCACCUGGAAAAGCCACAGGCACUCAACUGCAGCCCAUGAGCGCAGCCUUGGAUUCUUUACCCUGCAAAGCCAUAGGGGCAGGACUGCUCAAGGCCUGGGGAGCCCACCCCUUGUACCAGUGUGGCCUGGAUGUGGAACAUGAUGUCGAAGAUUAUUUUGGAACUUUAAGAUUUAGUGACUUCCCUACUGGGUUUUGGAGCUGUGUGGAUCCUGUAGACCCUUUCUUUUGGCCAAUUUCCCCCUUUUUGGGAUGGAAACAUUUACCCAAUCCCUAUACCCCCAUUGUAUCUUGGAAGUAAAUAAUUUGUUUUUGAUUUUACAGGCUUAUAGGUGAAAGUGACUUCCCUUGUCUCCAAUGAGGCUUUGGACUUUGGACUUUUGAGUUAAUGCCAGAAUGAGUUAAGAUUUUGGGGGCCUAUUGGAAAGGCAUGAUUGUAGUUUGCAAUGUGAGAAGGACAUGAGAUUUGGAGAGGCCAGAGGUGGAAUGGUAUAGUUCAGAUAUUUGACCCAGCCCAAAUCUCUUGUUGAAUUGUAAUCCCCAAUGCUGGAGGUGGGGCCUUCCUUGUAUGAUGUGUUUGGAACAUGCAGGCAAAUUCCUCAUGGCUUGGUGCUGUUUUCAUGAUAGUGAGUGAGUUCUCCUGAGAUGUGGUCAUUUAAAAGUGUAUGGCACCUCCCCCCACUCUCUAUCUCUCUUGCUCCUGCUCUGCUAUAUGAGACACCUGUUCCCCGUUUGCCUUCCACCAUGAUUGAAAGCUUUGUGAGACCUCCUCAGAAGCCAAGCAGAUGCCAGUGCCAUGCUGCCUGUAUAGCCUGCAGAACCACAAGCCAAGUAAAC